CCUACGGGAGGCAGCAGUGGGGAAUAUUGCACAAUGGGCGCAAGCCUGAUGCAGCCAUGCCGCGUGUGUGAAGAAGGCCUUCGGGUUGUAAAGCACUUUCAGCGGGGAGGAAAGCGUUGAGGUUAAUAACCUUGGCGAUUGACGUUACCCGCACAACAAGCACCGGCUAACUCCGUGCCAGCAGCCGCGGUAAU
rnacentral:rRNA from 1 species